rnacentral:lncRNA from 1 species
AGGGACGAAUCCAGGAUUUGAGUUCAGCUAGAGCGGAGGAGCUUGGCCAUCGAUAGUUGAUCGUUAACCAUUGACUGUCGAUAAUCAACGAUCGUAAUAGCUCGAUCGUUUAUUAAAAUUUUAUCAAAAAAUAUUAACAAUUAUUCAAUAUAUGUAAAUACAUUAAAAUGUAAAAAUUAUAUACAUGUGAAAAUAUAAU